UACACUGAUACAUUCGUCGGCAGCGUCAGAUGUGUAUAAGAGACAGGUAAACGGCGGCCGUAACUAUAACGGUCCUAAGGUAGCGAAAUUCCUUGUCGGGUAAGUUCCGACCCGCACGAAAGGCGUAACGAUUUGGGCACUGUCUCAACGAGAGACUCGGUGAAAUCAUAGUACCUGUGAAGAUGCAGGUUACCCGCGACAGGACGGAAAGACCCCGUGGAGCUUUACUGUAGCCUGAUAUUGAAAUUCGGCACAGCUUGUACAGGAUAGGUAGGAGCCUUUGAAACGUGAGCGCUAGCUUACGUGGAGGCGCUGGUGGGAUACUACCCUAGCUGUGUUGGCUUUCUAACCCGCACCACUUAUCGUGGUGGGAGACAGUGUCAGGCGGGCAGUUUGACUGGGGCGGUCGCCUCCUAAAAGGUAACGGAGGCGCUCAAAGGUUCCCUCAGAAUGGUUGGAAAUCAUUCAUAGAGUGUAAAGGCAUAAGGGAGCUUGACUGCGAGACCUACAAGUCGAGCAGGGUCGAAAGACGGACUUAGUGAUCCGGUGGUUCCGCAUGGAAGGGCCAUCGCUCAACGGAUAAAAGCUACCCCGGGGAUAACAGGCUUAUCUCCCCCAAGAGUUCACAUCGACGGGGAGGUUUGGCACCUCGAUGUCGGCUCAUCGCAUCCUGGGGCUGUAGUCGGUCCCAAGGGUUGGGCUGUUCGCCCAUUAAAGCGGUACGCGAGCUGGGUUCAGAACGUCGUGAGACAGUUCGGUCCCUAUCCGUCGUGGGCGUAGGAAAUUUGAGAGGAGCUGUCCUUAGUACGAGAGGACCGGGAUGGACAUACCUCUGGUGUACCAGUUGUCGUGCCAACGGCAUAGCUGGGUAGCUAUGUGUGGACGGGAUAAGUGCUGAAAGCAUCUAAGCAUGAAGCCCCCCUCAAGAUGAGAUUUCCCAACUUCGGUUAUAAGAUCCCUCAAAGAUGAUGAGGUUAAUAGGUUCGAGGUGGAAGCAUGGUGACAUGUGGAGCUGACGAAUACUAAUCGAUCGAAGACUUAAUCAA
rnacentral:rRNA from 1 species